rnacentral:sRNA from 1 species
GCAAAGGCGGCCGCGGUUCUAGAAACUUGACGUGAUGGGGCUUCCUGAGGAGCGGGGCCGGAGCGGCAGCGGGAGCCGGGGCCAGGAGGAAGCUGGAGCCGGAGGCCGGGCGCGGAGUUGGUCUCCGCCGCCCGAGGUCAGCCGCUCCGCGCACGUCCCCUCGCUGCAGCGCUACCGCGAGCUGCACCGGCGCUCCGUGGAGGAGCCGCGGGAAUUCUGGGGAGACAUUGCCAAGGAAUUUUACUGGAAGACUCCAUGCCCUGGCCCAUUCCUUCGGUACAACUUUGAUGUGACUAAAGGGAAAAUCUUCAUUGAGUGGAUGAAAGGAGCAACUACCAACAUCUGCUACAAUGUACUGGAUCGAAAUGUCCAUGAGAAAAAGCUUGGAGAUAAAGUUGCUUUUUACUGAACCCCCCAUACCUCAAGUCUUGGUCUCCAAUCAGCUCAUUGGUAUUUGGGGCUACUCAGCAUAGAGGGUAGAGACUGCCUGCCUUUCCUCUCCUG